CAGGCAGGGUGCCAGGUGCUCCCGGGCAUCCUGAAUGGCUAACCGAGCCAGUCUGGGCCCCCCUUGUGCCAGUUAUCAAGCUCGGCCUCCUGGGCCCACAGUGCUGGGUGAAGUGCAUGGCCAUCUUCCGUGCAGCUGGUCAAACAUCCCUGUCCACCUCCUCAUCGCCUUCUGGGAUGUGUGUGGACCAGAAUCGCUCCCUCAGGAUGUUCAGACUGACCCGCCCCCAGGAGGGGUGAACUCCGGCCAUUCCUGGGGAGAAGAAUCCCGCCGUGGGCUGCUCUCACCAGGUUCGGCCAGGCCGUCCUGCUCUCCGGGCCCUGCAGAGGCCUCCCCGGCCCCACACAGCCCUCCUGCUCCCCCCACCCCACCCCCUGCAGCCGUCCACCGCCCAGCAGUCUGCUUCUCACGUGUGGAGCUGUGUCUGCAGAACACGAAACAGACCGCUCCGCACCCAGAACAGGGAGCCUGUCAGCUGCAGUGGGAAGGCUGGUGGAAAACUGCCCUGGAAAUGCUAACAGGGCUCGGGGGCACAAGUCACAUAGAUUUCCUAAAGGAAAUCAACCCUGAAUAUUCACUGGAAGGACUGAUGCUAAAGCUGAAGCUCGAAUACUUUGGCCACCUGAUCCCAAGAACUGACUCACAAGAAAAGACCCUGAUGCUGGGAAAGAUUGAAGGUGGGAGAAGGGGACAACAGAUGAGAUAAUUGGAUGGCAUCAUCGACUCAGUGGACGAGAAUUUGAGCAGGCUCCGGGAAAUAGUGAAGGUCAGGGAGGCCUGAUGUGCUGCAGCCCAUGGAGUCACAGAGAGUCGGACAGGACCUGGCGACUGAACAACAAAAGAUGGCAAGAAAACAAAGAAAACUGAAAGAAAGAAGUGCAGAGGAAAGAGAACACUGAUUCUGAAAGGGAUCUUGAUAAAGUCAGGCACGUGGACUUCUUGCCCCACUCUGACCAACUCCUGGAUCAACCCAGACAGGGGAUCCCAGGGAAGCCUGCCUGCCCACACCUGAAUCCUCCCGUUCAGAGCAUAAGCAAGUCACGUGCUCACAGCCCGAGCUUUGCUAAUGUCAUUAUGUGCUUUACCUGUUUAAUCAGCAGAACAUUCCUGGGAGGUAGGUGCUCUGACCAGUCACAUUUUACGAACAGGGACAUUAAGGCUUG
ensembl:lncRNA